rnacentral:rRNA from 1 species
UACAGAGGGUGCGAGCGUUAAUCGGAAUUACUGGGCGUAAAGCGUGCGUAGACGGUUAUUUAAGUCAGAUGUGAAAGCCCCGGGCUCAACCUGGGAAUUGCGUUUGAGACUGAAUAGCUAGGGUGCGGUAGAGGGAAGCGGAAUUUCCGGUGUAGCGGUGAAAUGCGUAGAUAUCGGAAGGAACAUCAGUGGCGAAAGCGGCUUCCUGGACCAGCACCGACGUUCAGGCACGAAAGCGUGGGGAGCAAACAGG